GAUGAACGCUGGCGGCGUGCCUAAUACAUGCAAGUCGAGCGAACGGACGAGAAGCUUGCUUCUCUGAUGUUAGCGGCGGACGGGUGAGUAACACGUGGAUAACCUACCUAUAAGACUGGGAUAACUUCGGGAAACCGGAGCUAAUACCGGAUGAUAUUUUGAACCGCAUGGUUCAAAAGUGAAAGACGGUCUUGCUGUCACUUAUAGAUGGAUCCGCGCUGCAUUAGCUAGUUGGUAAGGUAACGGCUUACCAAGGCAACGAUGCAUAGCCGACCUGAGAGGGUGAUCGGCCACACUGGAACUGAGACACGGUCCAGACCCCUACGGGAGGCAGCAGUAGGGAAUCUUCCGCAAUGGGCGAAAGCCUGACGGAGCAACGCCGCGUGAGUGAUGAAGGUCUUCGGAUCGUAAAACUCUGUUAUUAGGGAAGAACAUAUGUGUAAGUAACUGUGCGCAUCUUGACGGUACCUAAUCAGAAAGCCACGGCUAACUACGUG
rnacentral:rRNA from 1 species